GUCAUUACGGCGCCUCCAACAAGGUAUAAAAGACGACCCAAACAACAUCGUGGCCAACAACAACCGCCCCAUCAUGCCUAUAAACAACAGAGUGGUUCGAACCAAUAUCAACCAUCCAGGAACGAGCACAAGCAACAUAUGUGGGAUGACACGAUACACGUUUUAUCAAAUAAACCCGUCCCUUGAUGUCUGACGGAAGACCAGGAUGCAGUAUGACCGUGCUGGCGCCACACUUCAACAUUGUAACAUAAUGUAUGCAUGUCGCGUUUUCUGUCAUAUUUAUAUAUUUUUGUACAAAUGUAGAGUUGUAAUAAAGAACAAAAAUUAGAAAUGUA